UGGGGAAUAUUGCACAAUGGGCGAAAGCCUGAUGCAGCGACGCCGCGUGAGGGAUGACGGCCUUCGGGUUGUAAACCUCUUUCAGCAGGGCCGAAGCGCAAGUGACGGUACCUGCAGAAGAAGCACCGGCUAACUACGUGCCAGCAGCCGCGGUAAUACGUAGGGUGCAAGCGUUGUCCGGAAUUACUGGGCGUAAAGAGUUCGUAGGCGGUUUGUCGCGUCGUUUGUGAAAACCAGCAGCUCAACUGCUGGCUUGCAGGCGAUACGGGCAGACUUGAGUACUGCAGGGGAGACUGGAAUUCCUGGUGUAGCGGUGAAAUGCGCAGAUAUCAGGAGGAACACCGGUGGCGAAGGCGGGUCUCUGGGCAGUAACUGACGCUGAGGAACGAAAGCGUGGGUAGCGAACAGG
rnacentral:rRNA from 1 species